ensembl:lncRNA
CCGAUACAAGUUCCUGUGAGGCAGGACGGCGCAUCAACGCUUCCAAAAAUGCCCCAAAACCCUGAACUUCCUGUCGUCUGCUGACAUCACCGGCUGAUCAGGGCCUCGGCCAGCUGAUCUGACUCUACAGUACAUGACUGCACACGGAAACACCUGGCCAGGUUAUUUCAUCAGAGUUAGCUUGUGCUGCUAGCACUGACCUGGCUAACACCUCCCUCAGAGCUGUGAGGGAGGUUCUGGUCUCCGAGUCCUUGGAGCUCGAUGCUAAAGAGAGCGAGUCACGUGACUCCUUCCUCCAGCUUGUCCUGAGCAGGUGUGUGAAGAUGGCCGCCUCCUUUUUGGUAUUUUGGCCUGUGCCAAAGAAACGGCCGAGGUCAGAGACACGAGUUCCCUCACAGUCCUCUGUCUCUGCCAUCGAAGUUUUUAAAUAGUGACGAGCAGAAAGGAGUUCUGGGUGUUUAUCCUCAGGACAGCUCUGUGAGUGUAGGACUGAACGCUCGCUGUGCUGACUGUGACGGCGAGCAGAGCUGUGAUCCCAGCGAAUCUUCGUUUAAACAUGACGAAGGCGGGAAAAGAGCAGAGCUGCUAACGAAUCGAUCAGACACGCCGUGAACGAGCGAGGUACUGUCACUGGUCUUGGGACCCGCCCCCUCUGUCGACUUUGCUGCCAAUCGACGGGCGCAUUACUUAAACCUGUGAUCUGAUUGGCUAACAGCUCUGCUGCCACUUUACGCUGAAGUAAAACAGCCGACCCAGAAUGCACGGUUCCAAAUGUUACAACAUCUGGAGCUGCAGCUGGAGUCCUACACUCACUGAAAGUCAUGAGCACCGUUCACUUCCUGUGGCAUGGGCCGACAGAGGCGGUCAGCUCCACCUACGCCAUCUGCUCCACCUGUGGGAGGAGCGAGCUGUGAGUCUCUAAACAGGAAGAGAAGCGACUGAUCUUCAUCGGCGUGACUGUAGGAGGAGCAGUUUAACAUGUAUAAAUACACGUGUACAUACAUAUAUGAACAGGAAGGAGGAAGUGACAUCUAACAAAAUAAAAGCCUCUUCCUGGUUCCGGUCCUUCCUUCAGUAGAGGCGACUGAUGGAGGUUCCUGGUUUUACUGUGGUGCUUUAUAAAGAGAACCUCCACCUGCUCCGUCUGCCUGGAGACUGACAGGAAAUGACCUGUGUGUGUGUGUGUGUGUGUGUGUGUGUGUGUGUGUGUGUGUGUGUGUGUGUGUGUGUCUCGUCGCUGUAUGAAUGUAUCUGAGCCGGUGACUCUGAGGCUCACACUCCAAUAAACUGUAGAAAAUG